CCGAGGUAGCUUCGAAAGAAGUGCUUCUCACACGAUGUUAUGUCAACCUAUUGCUUCGGCAGGACGUACUCUUAGGAGUCCGCUGGUUUUGAAAGAAACGGGCGAGCGCUUGCCGAAGGUUUUCACUCUUUGUUUAAGUCAGUCUGAUAACAAAACAAAUUAAACA
rnacentral:misc_RNA from 1 species